GUCUUCUUAAUAACGGUCUGAUCUGAUACUAGGAAGAUUAACAAAAAACAGAAUCAGUCUAAUCUAACUGUCCCUUGAAAGGAUGAACAGUUUAAUUUCAAGUAGUUUUGAGUCGGGAAGCAACCUGUUAUCUAUGAAUAGGCGAGAUCAAACUGCUAUAUAUAGAUUGUUUUGCCUAUAUAUUUAUUAUGGUCAACUUGUAGACAUCAGCGGAAAACCAUCAUCUCUAUCCGGCGAGUACAAUCAUAUCGCAUCAUUAAACUUUGGGGAUCGCCAUUAACAUUGAGGUCUAAAUGCACUCGGGCUGGUAGUGGUAUUGGAUACAGGUGAAGUCCCCUAGCAUGUGGAAGAGUGAAAAAGUGCUUUUGUCAUUGCGGAAUAUAAAGUCUUCAUAUCCUAAUGCACGCAGUAGCGAAGUCAGGAUUACCGCUAAGGGUGUUCAAAAAAGAAAAAAGUUAGAAAAGUUGUAGCUAGUGGGAAUAGAAUCAAUGACCUUACAAAUGUUUUGAACCCCUUUAACCACUAAGUUAUGCUUUUGGACCGUGUCAACGGGACUCAAAACAUAAUAUAUAGAGGUAAAAAUAAAUUUUGCCUUUUUAUAUACAGUGUAAUUUUUCGGCGAUAGGGGUUCAGAUGAACACCCUUUCGCCCCCUAAAUCCGCCCCUGAAUACACACAUUUAAUUUAUUCGGAGCUAUUAAAGUGGGAUCCAACUUUUGAGAAAUAUGAAUCGAAACAAUAACAAUAAUAGGAAGAUAGUGACGGACAUCAAGAGAUCCGACCGAAGUCACUGCUAAAAGUUGUGGUAGAAUGGUUAGGAUCCAUCCGGUUCCAAAUUCGAGCUCUAGAUAUGAAAAUAAUUCUGGUAGAAAAUGCUUCCCUUUUAAUGGUCUUUACACGAUGUAAAUCCACAUUUGUCGCCCUAAUGCGCCUACCAAACCCCGAUUGAGAAACCAAAAAAAUUGUACAAUCUCUAUGUUUUUCGGUUGACUUGGCAAGAGAAUUACAAGAGUUAGAAGUUAAAAAUGCCAAAAAUUAAAUUCAAAGGGAACAAACAAUAUAAAAUAAGUUCUAAAUUGAUCAAAUAAGAUUUUGGAGAAGACAGAAAAAAUUCAUGGAGUUUAAAGAAAUGUCAAACUAUGGCUUAAAAACUUCUGAAGGGUCAAAUGUAUGGUGAGUAGGAUCCACCCGAACAAAUUUUUAAUUGUUAUGUUAUUUUCAUAAUUAGUUAGUGCAGAGCACAAAAUUGCAUCUCA